AUACGGAGGAUCCGAGCGUUAUCCGGAUUUAUUGGGUUUAAAGGGUGCGCAGGCGGCCAUUUAAGUCAGCGGUUAAAUCGUGGGGCUCAACCCCAUUCUGCCGUUGAUACUGGGUGGCUUGAUUGCGGUCGAGGUUGGCGGAAUUCGUUGUGUAGCGGUGAAAUGCAUAGAUAUGACGAAGAACACCGAUUGCGUAGGCAGCUGACCAGACCGCAAAUGACGCUCAUGCACGAAAGUGCGGGGAUCGAACAGGAUUAGAUACCCUGGUAGUCCGCACAGUAAACCAUGAAUACUUGUUUUCGGCGAUAUAAUGUCGGAGGCAAAGCGAAAGCGAUAAGUAUUCCACCUGGGGAGUACGCCGGCAACGGUGAGACUCAAAUGAAUUGACGGGG
rnacentral:rRNA from 1 species